UAGGGAAUCUUCCACAAUGGACGCAAGUCUGAUGGAGCAACGCCGCGUGAGUGAAGAAGGUCUUCGGAUCGUAAAGCUCUGUUGUUGGUGAAGAAGGAUAGAGGCAGUAACUGGUCUUUAUUUGACGGUAAUCAACCAGAAAGUCACGGCUAACUACGUGCCAGCAGCCGCGGUAAUACGUAGGUGGCAAGCGUUGUCCGGAUUUAUUGGGCGUAAAGCGAGCGCAGGCGGAAUGAUAAGUCUGAUGUGAAAGCCCACGGCUCAACCGUGGAACUGCAUCGGAAACUGUCAUUCUUGAGUGCAGAGNGGAGAGUGGAACUCCAUGUGUAGCGGUGGAAUGCGUAGAUAUAUGGAAGAACACCAGUGGCGAAGGCGGCUCUCUGGUCUGCAACUGACGCUGAGGCUCGAAAGCAUGGGUAGCGAACAGGAUUAGAUACCCUGGUAGUCCAUGCCGUAAACGAUGAGCGCUAGGUGUUGGGGACUUUCCGGUCCUCUGUGCCGGCAGCA
rnacentral:rRNA from 1 species